UAAACGCUUUAUAAAUAUUGUUAAGAAUUUUUACAAUGUUAAUCAAUCAAUAAAUCGUUAAAAUUAUUUGAUUUUAAUUAUAUCUAUGCUUACUACGCAGAAUCUUCAUUCCCUCAUAACUACUUGUUGGCAUUGUAUCAUUCACAACAAAUAAAAGGAGAUGCAGUUUAUGAGAUUGAUCCAACCAAAGAUAUUGAAGCUUCUGAAGCCUAUCCUGAUGUCACAUACACCACUGCUGAUGAAUAUUUGAAUCAAUUUGUCUAAGUUUGUCAUCCCGGAAAUGUUAAAUAAGACAAAGAUUAUUUUUUCUUAAUAGUUUCACAUGUUGUACCACAUCAAUUAUAUUGUUAGUUGUCCUUGUUGUCUUGUUCUCAAUAAACCUUCCAAUUGAUGUAAUAUUUUACAAAAAUAAUAAUAUUGUAUUGUUCUAUUGUUUGCACAUUUGUGUCACUAGUAUCACUCUAUUAUUUUGUUGUUGCCCGUGAAUGGGUGACUCAAUAAAUUAUUUAAUACCCACGUCAGGAUGGACCGAUCUACCGUAUGAAGCAAUAUUUGUUUGGUCUCGGUUAUAAAUUUAAAUUAUUUACACACAUGCAAAAGAAAAAAAGUAGAAAGAAUGAACCAAUAUUUUUUUAUUUUAUUUUUAUGGGGGUGUUUGUUUGGGAGAUAAAAAAUAUAUUCCUGGGUAUAAGGGCAUUAAAUAUGAUAUUCCUAUGUUUGGUAGAAGGGAACAAAAAUAAUAUACCCAGGAAUAAAUGAUUCCCAGGAAUCUUAUUUACCCGUUGACUCUCUAUUUUUAUUCCCGGGGGUGGGGGGCUGGAAUCUUCAAUUCCUGAGAAUGAAAUCUCCACAUUCAUGACGAAAACCCACCCAUACCCCUAUUUUACCCACGCUUCUUCCCUCCUAAUUUUUCCCACGCGUUUUCUAAAUUAAUAGAAACCCACAUAUAUAUAAACCCCUCUUUGCUCUCUCUUUUCACUCAUCUGGAUCCAGAUCCAUCCAUAACAGGUUUGUGUCUUAUGUUUUGUUUUGUUUUUUGCGUUUUUUUAACUGCUGGACAGAUUCUCGGCCUGCCAGGCUGCUGUACCAGCGGAGCUGGGCCGCGCAAAUGCGAGUUUCGGUGACUGACAUUCGAGCGGGCAUCCACCAUUCUGUUGCUGUUGCAUGUCAAAGGUGUUGGGCAGUCUGCCAACCUUCAAUUAAAUGGCGUGUAACAACUUGAAACAGGGUACUCUUGUUAUGUAUUAAAAAACAAGUAUAUACCCUGACCAAUACCUUUGUUGACUCGCAUAAUUUACUUUGCUUGAUUAAAAAUAACAUGAAAAAUAUUAUUUUUCAUCAAUUUAAUGUAAAAGGGUAUUUUAAUAAUUUUGACAUUUAUUCCUGGGAUUAUACAUUUUAAACCAAACAUAUUUUUAGUAUUCCCAGGAAUUUAGAAAGAAAGUUCCAAGGAAUUCAAAUUGGUAACCAAACACUUUUUUAAAAUAUUCCUAGGAAUAUAAUUCCAAGGAAUAUAUUCCUGGGAAAAUUAUUCCAGGGAAUAAUUUUUGCAUCUGUGAAACAAACGGCCCCUAUAUUAUUGAAAUAAGUGCCCUAAAGGCAUUUGUUAGCAUUCUCCUUAAAAUAAUUAUAUGAUGUGUAUUUUGAUUGUGCACUUAAAUGAUUUGAAUUUGUGGUUGUGACUAUAUAAAAAUUAUUCGACGGCAUGAUCAACAGACCGUGUGAACAAUUGAAAUAUAUUAAAUAAUCAUGUUCAGACAUCCCUUACUUGUAGAGGUGUCAAAUGGACUGGACAACCCAGUUCGGCUUAAGAGUUUUGACUACAUAAAUGAACCAGUCUGACCAAGCCCAUUUGUAAUUGGGCCGCAUAAAAUAUAAUUGAAUGGAUAUAGAAGUAUAAAUAUUUUUUACAUUACCAUUAAAUACUAAUUAAACUCUAGAUUUAUUUCUUCAAUUGAAUCAAAUUAAUACUACAUCCGUCCAUAAUUAUAGGAUCCUUUUGAAAAAUAACAGGAAUUAAGAAAAUUAAAAGUGAUAAUAAAUUUGUUUUUAAUUACAAUUGUUUUUACAAAUUUGUCUUUUAAGAGUGGGUUAGUCCGUUAAUGUAUGUUUACAAUGUAGUAUUUAAUGAUGAUUGAAGAAAAAGAUAUACAAUAAAUAGGGGUAUGGUGGUAAAGAAUUAAUUAAUAUAUUUGGAAAUAGCAAAGAGAUUUUUAUAAAAAGAGACAAAAAAAUUCUCAAAAGGGUCCUAUAAUUAGGGACAGAGACAGUAGUUUAUAAACUUUAGAAUUUUAAAACUUUGAACUAAAUUUAUGCAUUUUUAUUAAGUUGACUUAUUUCAAUAUAUUUUAUUAAUAAAUUUUUAAAGUAGUUGAUAAUGUUUUUAAAAAAUAUAGCGUUUUUUAACAAAAAUAAAAUAAAAGUAUAGAUAGUAGGUCGGUCCGAAGUCCGAUAGGUUAGCCUGACUCGGCCCCAUUUUCAUAUGGAUCAAAUGAGCUAAGGUAAAAAAAAAUACGAGAGUAUUUUUAGUUAGGUUUGUGGUUCGGCCCAAAAUGUGUCAUUUUUUAUGUCUCUACUUACUAGCCAUCUCACCAUUAACAACGAUUUGUCAACUAAACAAUGUCAUCUUCUUUUCUAUUAAAGUUAACCCGGAAGCCCUAAUUUUAACCUAAACUAUAUUGCAUAAAUUUACUGUUUUAACCCUAAUGCUUAAUUCCUUUGUUUAAUCCUAUUAACCCUAUUUCUUGGUUGAAACAAAUUGAACCUAAUCUCCUAUUUUCUUGAAUAAAACAAAUUGGCCCUAUUUCUUCAACAAAACAAAUCGCUUUAUUUCUUGCUUUAAAAAAGAAACAACAACUCAAGUUGGGAUACUCUACUUGACCUAGAAGAGAAAUAACGGAAAGAAGAACUUGCCUUUUUGAGAACUUAUUGUCGGAACUCGGAAGCAAUGGUGAUCUGCUAAGUUUAUGGCGAGUUCGAUUGAUUAUGAGCUGCUAAGUUCGAUUGAGUAAGAGUUCGAUUGAUUAUGAGUUGCGAAGUUCCAUUGAGUAACAGGCAACAAAUCCUUCUUCUCAUGGCGGUAGGGAUGAGAGAUUUUGCUUACAACAAAUUAAUGGCAUGAUCAUAGGAAAGAGAUUUUAGUUUCUAGGUUUAGUAAGAACAAUGGGAUGAGAAAUGAUGAGGUAGAGUUGCAUGUGAAGAUAUGAUGAGGGAGAUAAAGAUGUUGAUAGGUUUUGGAAUAGGAAAGUAAUUUUUAUGAGAGAGGUUGACUACAGCUAUAAAAUAAAUGAUAAUUAUAUUUAUUUGAUACUUCCUAAAUGUUGUUACUUGAGAGUUAAAACGAUCUCUUUCCUGUG
rnacentral:lncRNA from 1 species